GAUGAACGCCGUCUGAAUGCUUAACACAUCAGCAAUUGACUGGUGGCGGACGGGUGAGUCACGCGUAAAGAACUUGCCUCACAGGUAUGGACAACAUUUGGCAACGAAUGCUACUAUAUACUACUGUGAGAGAGGUUUGCGUCGUCUUAGCUAGUUGGAGAGGUAACGGCUCACCAACGCGAGGAUGGGUAGCCGGCCUGUGAGGGUGAUCGGCCACAAGGGGACUGAGACACGGCCCUUACUCCUACGGGAGGCAGCAGUGGGGAAUAGUGAACAAUGGACCAAAGUCUGAUCCAGCAAUUCUGUGUGCACGAUGAAGUUUUCGGAAUGUAAAGUGCUUUCAGUUGGGAAGCGGUACCAACAGAAGAAGUGACGGCUAAAUACGUGCCAGCCGCCGCGGUAAUAC
rnacentral:rRNA from 1 species